rnacentral:rRNA from 1 species
AGCAGCAGUAGGGAAUCUUCCGCAAUGGGCGCAAGCCUGACGGAGCAACGCCGUGUGAGUGAAGACGGUCUUCGGAUUGUAAAGCUCUGUCAUUCGGGGCGAGCGGCCAGGAGAGGGAAUGCUCUUGGCGAGACGGUACCGAAGGAGGAAGCCCCGGCUAACUACGUGCCAGCAGCCGCGGUAAUACGUAGGGGGCAAGCGUUGUCCGGAAUGACUGGGCGUAAAGCGCGCGCAGGCGGUUUUUCACGUCUGGGGUGAAAGCCCGGGGCUCAACCCUGGGAUGGCCUUGGAAACGGGGGAACUUGAGGGUCGGAGAGGUCAGGGGAAUUCCACGUGUAGCGGUGAAAUGCGUAGAGAUGUGGAGGAAUACCAGUGGCGAAGGCGCCUGACUGGACGAAACCUGACGCUGAGGCGCGAAGGCGUGGGGAGCAAACAGGAUUAGAUACCCUGGUAGUCCACGCGGUAAACGAUGAGUGCUAGGUGUCGGAGGGUACCACCUCCGGUGCCGAAGGAAACCCAAUAA